rnacentral:misc_RNA from 1 species
AACGCACAUUGCGCCCCUUGGUAUUCCAAGGGGCAUGCCUGUUCGAGUGUCAUUAAAACCCUUCAGGUUUGGAUUUGUCCAUUCACUGGUAUUGAUAGUGGCGCACUGCUCUGGUGUUCCGAAUCGAAAUACAACGGCGCAAAUACUUGUCUCGCCUGCGUAAUAAGCUUCAAUUUUCGCAGAACGAUUCAUUGUUUGUCGCUACUAAAUGUCAAGUCAAAAGCUCAUGACCUCGGAUCAGGUAAGGAUACCCGCUGAACUUAA